GAUGAACGCUAGCGGCAGGCCUAAUACAUGCAAGUCGAACGCUCAGUAGCAAUACUGGGAGUGGCGCACGGGUGCGUAACGCGUACACAAUCUACCUCUAAGCGGGGGACACCUCCUGGAAACGGGGAUUAAUACCGCAUAAUAUGCCGAAGUCGCAUGACUUUGGUAUUAAAGCAGCAAUGCACUUAGAGAUGAGUGUGCGUCCCAUUAGGUAGUUGGUGAGGUAACGGCUCACCAAGCCUAUGAUGGGUAGCCGGUCUGAGAGGAUGGUCGGCCACACGGGCACUGAGACACGGGCCCGACUCCUACGGGAGGCAGCAGUAAGGAAUAUUGGUCAAUGGUGGAAACACUGAACCAGCCAUGCCGCGUGGAGGAAUAAGGUCCUACGGAUUGUAAACU
rnacentral:rRNA from 1 species